rnacentral:rRNA from 1 species
GAUGAACGCUGGCGGCGUGCCUAAUACAUGCAAGUCGAGCGAACGGACGAGAAGCUUGCUUCUCUGAUGUUAGCGGCGGACGGGUGAGUAACACGUGGAUAACCUACCUAUAAGACUGGGAUAACUUCGGGAAACCGGAGCUAAUACCGGAUAAUAUUUUGAACCGCAUGGUUCAAAAGUGAAAGACGGUCUUGCUGUCACUUAUAGAUGGAUCCGCGCUGCAUUAGCUAGUUGGUAAGGUAACGGCUUACCAAGGCAACGAUGCAUAGCCGACCUGAGAGGGUGAUCGGCCACACUGGAACUGAGACACGGUCCAGACUCCUACGGGAGGCAGCAGUAGGGAAUCUUCCGCAAUGGGCGAAAGCCUGACGGAGCAACGCCGCGUGAGUGAUGAAGGCCUUCGGAUCGUAAAACUCUGUUAUUAGGGAAGAACAUAUGUGUAAGUAACUGUGCACAUCUUGACGGUACCUAAUCAGAAAGCCACGGCUAACUACGUGCCAGCAGCCGCGGUAAUACGUAGGUGGCAAGCGUUAUCCGGAAUUAUUGGGCGUAAAGCGCGCGUAGGCGGUUUUUUAAGUCUGAUGUGAAAGCCCACGGCUCAACCGUGGAGGGUCAUUGGAAACUGGAAAACUUGAGUGCAGAAGAGGAAAGUGGAAUUCCAUGUGUAGCGGUGAAAUGCGCAGAGAUAUGGAGGAACACCAGUGGCGAAGGCGACUUUCUGGUCUGUAACUGACGCUGAUGUGCGAGAGCGUGGGGAUCAAACAGGAUUAGAUACCCUGGUAGUCCACGCCGUAAACGAUGAGUGCUAAGUGUUAGGGGGUUUCCGCCCCUUAGUGCUGCAGCUAACGCAUUAAGCACUCCGCCUGGGGAGUACGACCGCAAGGUUGAAACUCAAAGGAAUUGACGGGGACCCGCACAAGCGGUGGAGCAUGUGGUUUAAUUCGAAGCAACGCGAAGAACCUUACCAAAUCUUGGCAUCCUUUGACAACUCUAGAGAUAGAGCUUUCCCCUUCGGGGGACAAAGUGACAGGUGGUGCAUGGUUGUCGUCAGCUCGUGUCGUGAGAUGUUGGGUUAAGUCCCGCAACGAGCGCAACCCUUAAGCUUAGUCGCCAUCAUUAAGUUGGGCACUCUAAGUUGACUGCCGGUGACAAACCGGAGGAAGGUGGGGAUGACGUCAAAUCAUCAUGCCCCUUAUGAUUUGGGCUACACACGUGCUACAAUGGACAAUACAAAGGGCAGCGAAACCGUGAGGUCAAGCAAAUCCCAUAAAGUUGUUCUCAGUUCGGAUUGUAGUCUGCAACUCGACUACAUGAAGCUGGAAUCGCUAGUAAUCGUAGAUCAGCAUGCUACGGUGAAUACGUUCCCGGGUCU